UAUGGGAGCGAGCCUGCUCGCGGUAGCGGUGUGUCAGUCAGCCAAUGUGUAGCUGAUACGCCGCUAUCGCGAGCAGGCUCGCUCCCACA
rnacentral:misc_RNA from 1 species